UAAAAAUAUAAACUUAACAAAAAAAUUGUAAAAAUAUGAAGAUGAUGUAAAUAAAAUUAUAUAUUUUGAUAAUAUAAAAGAUAUGAAAAUUUGUAAAAUCUAACUUAUAAAUAGGAAAAAGAAAAUCCUAAUUGUCUUACUCUAAAGAAAAAAAUUGCAUUUCUUAUUUUGGAAUUCUUCAGAUCAAAGACACAAACAUAUCUUAUUUUAAUUCAUCAGAUCAGGCUGCGCCUGCUUCUUCUUCUUCAACUGCAAAUCAGAGAAAAACACAUUCAAGUUUAGUGUUUGGUUUUUCAAUAACCCAGUAAUGUUUUAUCCCAAAUGGUCACAAUGUCAAACAAUCGCUUAUUUUUUUUUACCUUUUUCCAGCUCCUCCUUAACUAACUUCUCCCUAUGCGCUGAUACCAGAUCGUGAAGGUGAAGAUAUGCUAAAUCGAAAUUUUUAUCGACGAAAAUUUAAGCAUCAUUAUAUUCAAGAAAAUAAAUAUUAAGAUCGUAAAAACAAUUCUUUCAGUCUCUCUAUUAGAAUAUAUAUAUAUAUAUAUAUAUACCUAUUAGAUAUCCCGCAGUCAGUCUUCCAACUGGUUUGGAAAGUUUGCGAAAUCUCUCCAUCAUUCCUUAACAAAAGAUUUUUAGAAAAAAUAUUAAUAUGAUAAGAUUUUAUGAGGAAUCAGAGCUUUUGAUCUUAACUUUACCUUUGCUAACGGCGGAUGUAGAGAAACUGCGGCGAGAGAGAAGCCCUCUCCCUCCGCGUGAUGCCAGCGCAGAGACAUAUCUCAACGGCGACAUAGUCGGCACAAUUGUUAUUAGUAUAGCCUUAGCUUAGGGGUGUUCAAUAGGCUAUAAUUUCUUUAAUCUCUAUCCUGUUGGGCCUUGGGCCGAAUCGUUUUCGGGCUUGUAAAAAUUGCGGUUCCUAAUACGAUUGUUUUUAAGUACUGAACUGUAACCAAUUGUAUCAUUCUAAAAUUUACAUACAUACUUGAUCUAUGUAUGCCGCUGAUCAAACAUACGUAUAAGCAAAGCAAAGCAUGGAUGAUGAUGAGCUAAUGCAUUUAUUCUAUCGAUGUCUCUGUGUACUAAAACAACAACUAUGGUUUAUAUCAAAAACUUGUGCAUUUCUCUUUCACG
rnacentral:lncRNA from 1 species